AUCUUUGAUCUCCCCUCUGGCCCGUCAUGGACUAGUGCAGGGCCGGCGCUCGGAUAGUGCCGGCCCUGCAUGGACUGGCCGGGGAGAUCCUGUGACCUCCCCUGUCGGCCUCGACCCAUGGCCAUCGCGGCCCACUGAGCAUUUGCCUGGUGUGCCCGGUGGCCAGUCCAGGCCUGCUCCAAGUGAGGUCUCACCAGUAUUCUGUACAAUGGCAUGAACGCUUCCCUCUUCCUACUGCUAAUACUGCUCCCUAUACAACCAAGCAUUCUGCUAGCAUUUCCUGCUGCUCUUUUACAUCUGCCUACCUUUAAUUCAUCAGAAAUAAUUACCCCUAAAUCCCUUUCCUCAAAUGUUGAGGUUAGGACUCUAUCAAAUAUUCUGUACUCUGCCAUUUUUUUUAUGUCCAAGAUGCAUUAUCUUGCACUUAUCCACAUUAAAUGUCAGUUGCC